UCCUACGUGUCAGUACUUUCGUUUUAACUAUCUUAUACUUUCAGUUGCGUGUAAUGUCACGCUAGAAAUCAAUGCAAUUAGUUAUCGUAAUGCGAAUAUUUCUUUAACGAAUUUUUUUUUUAUUCUACAAUCCUGCUGUUUUUGCAACAGUAUAAUAAUAACAAUUAAGUAUUAUGAGAAAAAAAAGUCUGUUUAGAUACAGUAUGAAACUGUUCCUUUUUUUAAUUUCCACAUACCUACAUUGAUGCAUUUUGAGUACAGCUAGUUUUUCAUGGAUCGACAGCUCUAAAUUGAUUUUUGAUCAAAAUAUACAGAUGAAAUAAAUAGACAUAUGAUAUUUAUCGACCAUCUGUUAGAAGAGUACAUGGUAUAAACUGUUGUACAGUAUACGAAACUGAGGAGAUAUUCGUUUGAAUAUAAGAGAUUCUUAAUCAUGGAUUACAUAUAAUAACAGGUUGUGUUGGAAAAUUAGAGGGAACAGUUUUGUAUUAUGUCUCUAAUAUAGUGUUGAAUCAUGCUUGUGAUUCUGUCAGUGCUACAAACAGGUUUUAUUAAGAGCAUACAAAAUAUGGUAUUGUAUUAAACCAUUUAACAGCUGGAAAUUGCAUGUACAUAAGCAGCCAGUGCAGACUCAGUCAUGGAUAUUAUCAAUAUGGUUUAUCCAAGUAUACUUAACCAAAAUCUAAUCAUAGUUUCGUCCAAAGCUCAUGUUUACAUAUUCCAUACUUAUCCAUUAUAGUUUGAGCAAUAUCCUGAGCAUGUACAGUGCCGCAGAACGCGUUGCGAUUUUCGAAUACGUCUAUGAAUUCGCGUUAAAAAAGAUGGAAGUAAUUUAAAAACAUGAAGACCGUAUAUUUUGUAUAUACUCGCUUACAUUUGUCACACGCAUCAGAGAAAAUUUAUUGCAUAUUUGCCUUCUAUUCUUCUUUUUUAACUUCAACUGUGAUUUUUCAUUCGAUUGUUUUCUUUGGUUUCGUUAUAUGUAGUUUGCGGGAGAGCUAUUACGGCUGUGAGAUUAUUGUUUGACCAGCAUAUAAGUUUUCAACCAAUUUUAUUCUUAUCCCGGCGAACAAAAUUCAAUCUCCCAAUCGUAGUUACUGAUCGUGAAUAUAAAAGUCUUAAAUAAUUCUAUUGAAUACGUUGCGUAUAUACGUAUUAAAGACUCCACUAUGCCGUUUCUUUAUAUUUAGAACAUCCGUGUUCCCCCGCCGAUAACACGCAAUGCUUAGAUCUUCUUUUAAUUUUCCGCUUGGCACAGUUGUGUGUGAUUUGAGUUUGCAAUGCUUUGUCCAAAUCGCAACAACAGAAUAUGUCCUGCAAAAUUUUAUUUUCACACGAACCACAAAAAAGAAACGUGAACGUGGAACUCGCUUAUCGCACAAAAAAGUGUGUGUACACGUAGUUAAACGCACAAGUGUAAUGGUUGCACCAUUGCCUAUAUAUAUAUAUAUGUAUAUAUUUAUGAAUAUGAGGAAGAGAAAAAAAAA